rnacentral:tRNA from 1 species
GGGCUCGUGGCGUAGUAUGGAUAGCGCGUCGGCCUGCGGAGCCGAAGGUCGUGGGUUCAAAUCCCGCCGGGCCCA